CCAGCUUGCUGGGUGGAUUAGUGGCGAACGGGUGAGUAACACGUGAGUAACCUGCCCUUAACUCUGGGAUAAGCCUGGGAAACUGGGUCUAAUACCGGAUAGGAGCGCCUACCGCAUGGUGGGUGUUGGAAAGAUUUAUCGGUUUUGGAUGGACUCGCGGCCUAUCAGCUUGUUGGUGAGGUAAUGGCUCACCAAGGCGACGACGGGUAGCCGGCCUGAGAGGGUGACCGGCCACACUGGGACUGAGACACGGCCCAGACUCCUACGGGAGGCAGCAGUGGGGAAUAUUGCACAAUGGGCGCAAGCCUGAUGCAGCGACGCCGCGUGAGGGAUGACGGCCUUCGGGUUGUAAACCUCUUUCAGUAGGGAAGAAGCGAAAGUGACGGUACCUGCAGAAGAAGCACCGGCUAACUACGUGCCAGCAGCCGCGGUAAUACGUAGGGUGCGAGCGUUAUCCGGAAUUAUUGGGCGUAAAGAGCUCGUAGGCGGUUUGUCGCGUCUGUCGUGAAAGUCCGGGGCUUAACCCCGGAUCUGCGGUGG
rnacentral:rRNA from 1 species